UAAGCGAAUAGUGAAAUUGUGUGGCUCAACCAUACACCCAUUAUUUGAACUGCUCAGCUUGAGAGCGAGAGAGGUUACUGGAAUUCCCAGUGUAGGAGUGAAAUCCGUAGAUAUUGGGAGGAACACCAAUGGCGUAGGCAGGUAACUGGCUCGUCUCUGACACUAAGGCACGAAAGCGUGGGAGCAAACGGGAUUAGAUACCCCGGUAGUCCACGCCGUAAACUAUGGAUGCUA
rnacentral:rRNA from 1 species